rnacentral:lncRNA from 1 species
UCCAAACGUGGAUUUGGAGCUGGGCUUUUUGUUUUUUUGAGACGGGGUCUCGCUCUGUUGCCCAGGCUGGAGUUUUUUUUUUUUUUUUUUUUUUUUUUUUUUUUUUUUUUUUUUUUUUUUUUUUUUUUUUUUUUUUUUUUUUUUUUUUUUUUUUUUUUUUUUUUUUUCUUGCUUUGUCACCCAGGUUUCUUGCUUUGCAGUUCGGAUUGGAUCUCUCACUUGCCUAUCAGAACUUCCCACUGAGGCCGGGCGCGAUGGCUUAUGCCUGUAAUCCCAGCACUUUGGGAGGCCGAGGUGGGUGAAUCACCUUAGGUGAGGAGUUCCAGACCAGCCUGGCCAACAUGGCGAAACCCCAUCUCUACUGAAAAUACAAAAAUUAGCCAGGCGGGGUGGCGCGCACCUAUAAUCCCAGCUACUUUGGGAAGCUGAGGCAGGAGAAUCGCUUGNNNNNNNNNNAACCUCCGCCUCCCAGGUUCAAGCGAUUCUCCUGCCUCAGCUUCCCAAAGUAGCUGGGAUUACAGGUGCGCGCCACCCCGCCUGGCUAAUUUUUGUAUUUUCAGUAGAGAUGGGGUUUCGCCAUGUUGGCCAGGCUGGUCUGGAACUCCUCACCUAAGGUGAUUCACCCACCUCGGCCUCCCAAAGUGCUGGGAUUACAGGCAUAAGCCAUCGCGCCCGGCCUCAGUGGGAAGUUCUGAUAGGCAAGUGAGAGAUCCAAUCCGAACUGCAAAGCAAGAAACCUGGGUGACAAAGCAAGACUCCGUCUAAAGAAAAAAAAAAAAAAGAAACCUGGGUUCCAGUCCUGGCUCCUAACUCUCAAUAGGACCUGAGCAAGCCCCCCACCCCCAAGCCAGUUUCCUCUUCAUGAAAUGGAAAUGCAAAGGUUAAACAAGGUGAUGUUUACAGUUUGGCAUUCUGCGAUCCCCUUGGCAGGGGCAGAGUAGUUGGCAGUAGCUGAUAGGGCCUGGGGACCACCUCCCUCUCCUGCCCCGAUGGCCCUGCUGGGCCUGGGCAGGGCAGUUGGCUGCAAUUACUGGAGGCUCCCACCCUGUGGUUAUAUCCCUGACCUCGGUGUUUGGGGGCGGGAAGGGUGGGCCCUGCUGGAGCCAGCCUGUGGCUGGGAGCCUUCUUGUCUUGGGCUCAAAGCUGCUGGGUUGGGAAGAGGUAUUUUUUCCGGUUGAAGCCACUUUCAGGAAUUGGGCCGGGACCAGCCCUGUUUCCUUUUCCAAGUGUCCUGCUUGCUAAGGCCUGCUUGCACGACCCUGUGGCCAGAUUGGGGCAUCUUCAAAGGGGAAUAUGUUUCUGAGUGGCCAGAGAGACCCCACUCAAUGUCUCUGAAGGACAGGGAAAGGGGAUGGCCUGAGCCUCUGCUCCCUGGAUGUGGCACCGGCUAACCUGGAUGGGAGAGGGUGGCUGACUGAUCCUAUACUGAGGAAUGCCGGCAGGAGAGGACCAGGGGCAUUUCCUACCCUUCCCCUGACCUUCCUCUCUCCCUGCAGGUCUGUGAGAGCCCAAGCCAAUUGCUCUAGGCCCCGUGGCUGGCUACUUAUGGGGCACUGUCCUGACCAGCUCUGCUAAGAUGCUCCUGGCCCCUCCCUCCACCCCGUCCAGAGGACGGACC